AUUUUUAUUUUUCAUUUGAAUGCGAAAGCAACAGGCGGUCUUAUAUAUUUUUUCCCUUCGCUGCAUGUUUAUAGUCUGAAUAAGAUAAGAAAUAUGUGUUGAAAUAAUUAGAUUGAAAGGGCUUAAAAUGCUCUUCGUAUUCAAGUUUCUCUCACAAUUAGGGCUUCUAGUAAGUAUUUGAAGUGACAGCUAAUUAUUUUUUUCAUGCUUUCUAGUUUAUGAUACUAUCUUUCUUUUUGUAUUCUGAGGAAAACUUUAUGGUGGUGUCAUAUCUACUAUCUCCUAUAUUUGACAUUCUUGUUGAACACAGUAUUUUUGGUGUUUUACCAUUAAAGGGGAAAAAGAAAAAUCUGAUCUUCGAUAGAGCUUCUCUUGGAACUUCUUCCGACGAAAUAUCUCAAUGAAAGCACCAUUGGUGGAGGGCGGCUCUCGGCCCCAAGUCGCCACAGCAAAUUCUUUGCCUUAUGCUCCUUGCGGAUGCCUCAAGAUGUACGGAUGCGGGCCGAACGGGUAACGCCGGUUGUGUACCGAGCACUUACUCGCUACAGCUUGGCCCGACCGUUGGCUUGAAUGAAACAACCAAACAAUUCAAGUGUAUGUGGAGGAAAGAUUAAGGUUGAUUCUAUUCCCAAAAUGAAGCUUACAAGCAUAAUCUAGUGGAACUAUGAUGGGUUCUCACUAGCCCAAGUUCUUAGACACUCUAGGACCGAAUACAAUAAGGCAAAGUCCUCCUAAGCCUAAGGCCGAACAUACAAGACUCUCAAGAUGACAAAAGACUCCCUCCCAAGCUCUCUCAAUGCAUAUUUAUAGGCUCUUCAAAGGGCACAAGAGUGGCUAAGGCAUAUGGCACAUGUAGGGCCAAAGGCUUGGCCAAGGCAUGGCCAAGCCUUAGGC
rnacentral:lncRNA from 1 species